AUUGAACGCUGGCGGCAGGCCUAACACAUGCAAGUCGAGCGGAUGAGAGGAGCUUGCUCUUUGAUUUAGCGGCGGACGGGUGAGUAAUGCCUAGGAAUCUGCCUGGUAGUGGGGGACAACGUUUCGAAAGGAACGCUAAUACCGCAUACGUCCUACGGGAGAAAGUGGGGGAUCUUCGGACCUCACGCUAUCAGAUGAGCCUAGGUCGGAUUAGCUAGUUGGUGAGGUAAUGGCUCACCAAGGCGACGAUCCGUAACUGGUCUGAGAGGAUGAUCAGUCACACUGGAACUGAGACACGGUCCAGACUCCUACGGGAGGCAGCAGUGGGGAAUAUUGGACAAUGGGCGAAAGCCUGAUCCAGACAUGCCGCGUGUGUGAAGAAGGUCUUCGGAUUGUAAAGCACUUUAAGUUGGGAGGAAGGGCAGUAAGUUAAUACCUUGCUGUUUUGACGUUACCAACAGAAUAAGCACCGGCUAACUUCGUGCCAGCCGCCGCGGUAAUAC
rnacentral:rRNA from 1 species